rnacentral:rRNA from 1 species
UAGACCGCCUGGGGAGUACGGCCGCAAGGUUAAAACUCAAAUGAAUUGACGGGGGCCCGCACAAGCGGUGGAGCAUGUGGUUUAAUUCGAUGCAACGCGAAGAACCUUACCUGGUCUUGACAUCCACGGAACUGUAGAGAUGAGAAUGUGCCUUCGGGAACCGUGAGACAGGUGCUGCAUGGCUGUCGUCAGCUCGUGUUGUGAAAUGUUGGGUUAAGUCCCGCAACGAGCGCAACCCUUAUCCUUUGUUGCCAGCGGUCCGGCCGGGAACUCAAAGGAGACUGCCAGUGAUAAACUGGAGGAAGGUGGGGAUGACGUCAAGUCAUCAUGGCCCUUACGACCAGGGCUACACACGUGCUACAAUGGCGCAUACAAAGAGAAGCGACCUCGCGAGAGCAAGCGGACCUCAUAAAGUGCGUCGUAGUCCGGACUGGAGUCUGCAACUCGACUCCAUGAAGUCGGAAUCGCUAGUAAUCGUGGAUCAGAAUGCCACGGUGAAUACGUUCCCGGGCCUUGUACACACCGCCCGUCACACCAUGGGAGUGGGUUGCAAAAGAAGUAGGUAGCUUAACCUUCGGGAGGGCGCUUACCACUUUGUGAUUCAUGACUGGGGUGAAGUCGUAACAAGGUAACCGUAGGGGAACCUGCGGUUGGAUCACCUCCUUACCUGAAAGAA